UACGAAGGGAGCUAGCGUUGUUCGGAAUCACUGGGCGUAAAGCGCACGUAGGGGAUGUGUCAGUCAGGGGUGAAAUCCCGGAGCUCAACUUCGGAACUGCCUUUGAUACAGCACGUCUUGAGUCCGAUAGAGGUGGGUGGAAUUCCUAGUGUAGAGGUGAAAUUCGUAGAUAUUAGGAAGAACACCGGUGGCGAAGGCGGCCCACUGGAUCGGUACUGACGCUGAGGUGCGAAAGCGUGGGGAGCAAACAGG
rnacentral:rRNA from 1 species